GGCAUUCACGAUUUAAUUGCCACAUGUGUUGAAACUGUUAAUUGUGUGCGAUGUUUUGUCUGUGCGCGCGAGAAACUGAUAAAAGAAAGCAAUUCAAACCGCCAGUAAGAGCCUGGAUAACAGGCUUGGCUAAGUUGCAGAAUGCAGCAAGGAUUUGUUCAUCCCUCACGCGCACAUUUUAUUAAACCUUCAAGCCAGAAAUCAAAACAACCGUUGCGGUCGGCUUUAUCUAAGCGCCACCAUGCUACGAAAAGGCCACCGGCUGUGGUAGAGAGCACUAAACCAAACGAAGACGAUCUUCUGGUCUUUGGUUAUGCAAGCAAGCUGUUCCCACCAGACAAACACUCGGCCUCAGUUGCGAAAAAUUUGCACCUAAUCAAAUGGAAUGAAGAUGGUCAUGCCAACAUCUUGAUUGAUAGAUACGACUGUCGCGCUUCACUUCACGACCUCUCGGAGUUUGAUGGAAACUCUUGGAAUAAAAAGCACCAGUUAUCUGAGGAAGAAGUGAGAUUGGAAACUUAUUUAGAUGAUGAGAGAUACCGAGCUCUGCAUGUAGAAGAACUGGAAGAAAAUAUAAGACAAGAGGAAGAAUUAAAGAGACUUCAUGCUGUAAUCAACGAAACUCCAAGCUCAAAGUUCAGUCAGGUCCAGUUUCGUUAUGACAAUGAUAACAGUGAUCAAGAAAGUCAAAAAGAUCGUUACAACCCGUGUGAUCCCACUAAUGAUGAAGAGGAGGUUGAUGAGAAACCUUUUUUUGCUCCCGCAUCACUUGCUGUUCCGGAAGAAAUGGAAAUCCCAGCCACUGAGAAAAUGCAUGCGAUUAUUGAGAAAACGGCAAAGUUUGUCAGCAAACAAGGAGCACAGAUGGAAAUUGUAUUAAAAGCAAAGCAAUCUUCCAAUUCACAGUUUCAGUUCUUGCAGUUCGGCCAUUACCUUAACCCAUAUUACAAACAUAUUGUAACGAGAAUAAAAGAAGGAAAAUAUAAUCCUGAGGUUCAAGAAACUAAAGAUAAGUCUGAAGCGGAGGAGUCCGAUAGUGGAAGUGAUGAUGACAGUGAAGGAGGAGGAUACUUGCAUCCAAGUCUCUUUGCUGCAACUCACAAGAGCAGGGAAGCAGAGAACUUGGAGAAAACCAAGGCUAUAAGGACAGUAGACCCAAACCACCCCUUAGCUAAACUCAUUGAAAAGGGGAGAGCAGCAAAUGCAGUAAAGCAACAUCAGAAGAUGGCGGAAUCUAUGCAGGAUUAUUAUAAAAGCAAUAACACUGCUAAUGGAAACACAAAUGCAGAAACCACAAACGCAACACUCCCCCCUUUCAUGUCAAUGAGUGGCCACACCACUUCUAUACAACAGCCCACCUCCACAAUACAGAGUGAAGAUACUAGCCACACACAACGUUAUAUAACUACUGCUGUGCAAAUUGUUCCGCCACCCCCAGAUUUACAACCUGUUGUAGAAAAUAUUGCCAGGAGAGUAGCCAUGGAGGGGGGUGGGUUAGAAGCAACUAUUUUUACCACUAACCCCGUCACCUUCGGCUUCCUAAACCCAACCCAUGAGCUACACCCAUAUUAUCACUACCGUAAACUUGCGUGGGUGAAACACCUUUACCCCGACCCCACUGCCCAGACCAAACCCCAAUUCAGAGGGUGUGAACAACCAAUCAGAAAUAAGUGAAGACACACAGCAAGAACAGGAGCCCACCCCUGCCUUGCCCAUCUCUUUUUCCAUCAAGCCUCGUAACGAGAUAACCAAAAAGCCCAUUAUGACAUCACAAACCACAAUGAUGUUAAAGGGAAAUGAUAGCGAAGACGAGACAGAAGUGGAAAAUCAACAAGAAAAAGGUCCAGAAACUGUUAUAACUGUUAAAUCGUCUAAGAGAAAGUUCACAGAAGAAUAUGAACCACCUCCUGUGAAAAUUACUAAGACAAUUCCAGCAACGGUACCAAUCGUACCUGAAAACCUACCUAUCCCUGCCCCUACCGAGUCCCAGCCUGCCCCUGUCGUCCCAGCACCCAUAGCCCCACCGUCCAGUUUCACAGCAGUGACCCCUAGCGGCGAGGAAGCCUCCAUCGCCACCUUGCGACAGAAACAAGCGGCUCGUCGCGCGAAGGCUCUGCUGUUCCUCAACGCUAAAAAGAAACUCCAGGAGCAAGAAAAUGGGUCUAAAGGAACACCUGAACGUAAUAUAACAGCAUCAGCCGCCACGGAAGAUAUAUUCGAUUUAUCUAAUCCAUCAUCGCCCGCAACUGUGGAUUCGCCAUCGAGGACCGCUGAAAAAGAGGGGGAGGUCUCACGUCCUAAACGGACCUCAAGGUUCGAUAUUCUUCCCAGGGGUAUGACGUCACUUCCGCUUGCCGUGACGCAACAUCCGGUAAUGAGCGCGGGUCCCACACCUGGUUACCUAAGUUCAAGGCAUGACGUCACAAAAACCUCGCGUGACGUCACCCCUGUAUCAACACGUAGCGACGACGGUGAUGUGCCGAGUGCUUAUAGGGUAGAAAACGAACCCGCUAGGCGGAGUAGAGAGCGGGACCGACGUAAAUCGAGAUCUUCAAGUCGACGUCACAAACAUCGUAGCCAUGACUACCGACGUCACUCUGACGAUGAUCGCUCGCCGUCCAAUCACAGAUCGAGCAGAAGGUACUCUCGUAAGACGGAAUCACGUGACAGUAGUAAAACUUCGAAGAG